GGAAUAAUCAUGGUAGGUAUUAUUUUAAGAGUAAUACUCAUUAUUUCGGCAAUGGAGCAGAGGCGAAAAAGGCUGCUCCCAUUGAGAAUGCGUUACCGUGUAGCUUGACCUAUAUAAGGGUGCUAAGAAGAAGAUGCGGAUUUCGAGAAUUGCUUAUGAUGCUUCUGGUAAGUUUCAGACUCUUGAAGAAAUACUGACUAUUGAUAUAAAACCUGGNNNNGAAGGGUACGAAGAUCACAUUUCCUGAGAAGGGUAACCAGGAGCCUGGUAUUAUUCCUGCGGAUCUUAUUUUUGUGGUGGAUGAGAAACUACACCCUAUUUACAAGAGGGAUGGUAAUGAUCUAGUAGUGAAUGAGGAGAUAACACUGCUGGAGGCCCUCACGGGUAAGACCCUUGAGUUUACUACACUUGAUGGAAGGAAUCUCAUGAUCCCACUAACAGAUAUUGUCAAACCUGGUGCCGAGGUGUUGGUCCCAAAUGAAGGAAUGCCAAUUUCAAGAGAACCUGGAAAGAAGGGUAAUUUGAGAAUCAAGAUUGAUGUCAGGUACCCAUCAAGGCUUACCUCAGAGCAGAAAUCCGAGCUAAGAAGAGUUUUGGGUGGAGUUUUACAAUAAUGAAUGAUUGCUUCGGAGAGAAAAAUGGAGUAGAUCGAGUCUUUUAGUUAUUGGGAUUGCUAUUGGAUGUAAAUAUAAUGUGUAUGGCUAUACACUGAUGUAGAAUGUUAAUCCUAGGAUUACUUAAAUUGAAAGGGAACAGAUUUGGCGUAUCAAAUGUUGGUAGGGUAAAGGGUACAUUGGGUCAUUGGGCUUGGUGCCAUUCUAACAAGGGAAACAGGUUGGCAAAUU
rnacentral:misc_RNA from 1 species